GCUUCGGUAGCUCAGUUGGUUCAGAGCGAUCGGCGCGGUGUUCCGAUAUGUCGCAAGUUCAAGUCUUGCCCGAAGCG